rnacentral:rRNA from 1 species
CCUACGGGAGGCAGCAGUGGGGAAUAUUGGGCAAUGGGCGCAAGCCUGACCCAGCAACGCCGCGUGAAGGAAGAAGGCCCUCGGGUUGUAAACUUCUUUUAUCAAGGACGAAACUAAUGACGGUACUUUAUGAAUCCGCUACGGCUAACUACGUGCCAGCAGCCGCGGUACUACGUAGGUGGCCAGCGUUCUCCGUAUUUACUGGGUGUAAAGGGCGUGUAGGCGGGACUGCAAGUCAGAUGUGAAACAUCUGGUCUCAAACAAUGGACUGCAUUUGAAACUGUAGUUCUUGAGUGUAGGAGAGGCAGGCGGAAUUCCGGGUGUAGCGGUGAAAUGCGUAGAUAUAAGGAGGAACACCAGUGGCGAAGGCGGCCUGCUGGACAAUAACUGACGCUGAGGCGCGAAAGCGUGGGGAGCAAACAGGAUUAGAUACCCGAGUAGUC